rnacentral:snRNA from 1 species
UUCCUUUUGGAGACACCAUGAUCAGGCAGGUGGUUUUCCCAGGGGGAGGGUCAUCCCUUGCACUCUGGGUGUGCUGACCCCUGCGAUUUCCCCAAAUGCGGGAAACUCGACUGCAUAAUUUGUGGUAGUGGGGGACUGCGUUUGCGCUCUCCCCUG